UACGUAGGGUGCGAGCGUUAAUCGGAAUUACUGGGCGUAAAGGGUGCGCAGGCGGUUAUAUAAGACAGAUGUGAAAUCCCCGGGCUCAACCUGGGAAUUGCAUUUGUGACUGCACGGCUAGAGUGUGUCAGGAGGGGGUAGAAUUCCACGUGUAGCAGUGAAAUGCGUAGAGAUGUGGAGGAAUACCGAUGGCGAAGGCAGCCCCCUGGGAUAACACUGACGCUCAUGCACGAAAGCGUGGGGAGCAAACAGG
rnacentral:rRNA from 1 species